CAGGCCUCACAUGCAGUCGAGCGGUGAAGGAGAGCUGUGCUCCUGGAUUCAGCGGCGGACGGGUGAGUAAUGCCUAGGAAUCUGCCUGGUAGUGGGGGAUAACGUCCGGAAACGGGCGCUAAUACCGCAUACGUCCUGAGGGGAAAAUGGGGAUCUUGGACUCACCCUAUCAGAGGCCUAGUCGGAUAGCUAGUGGUGGGUAAAGCCUACCAGGCGACGAUCCGUAACGUCUGAGAGGAUGAUCAGUCACACGAAAUGAGACACGGUCCAGACUCUACGGGAGGCAGCAGUGGGAAUAUGGACAAUGGGCGAAAGCCUGAUCCAGCCAUGCCGCGUGUGUGAAGAAGGUCUUCGGAUUGUAAAGCACUUUAAGUUGGGAGGAAGGGCAGUAAGUUAAUACCUUGCUGUUUUGACGUUACCAACAGAAUAAGCACCGGCUAACUUCGUGCCAGCAGCCGCGGUAAUACGAAGGGUGCAAGCGUUAAUCGGAAUUACUGGGCGUAAAGCGCGCGUAGGUGGUUCAGCAAGUUGGAUGUGAAAUCCCCGGGCUCAACCUGGGAACUGCAUCCAAAACUACUGAGCUAGAGUACGGUAGAGGGUGGUGGAAUUUCCUGUGUAGCGGUGAAAUGCGUAGAUAUAGGAAGGAACACCAGUGGCGAAGGCGACCACCUGGACUGAUACUGACACUGAGGUGCGAAAGCGUGGGGAGCAAACAGGAUUAGAUACCCUGGUAGUCCACGCCGUAAACGAUGUCGACUAGCCGUUGGGAUCCUUGAGAUCUUAGUGGCGCAGCUAACGCGAUAAGUCGACCGCCUGGGGAGUACGGCCGCAAGGUUAAAACUCAAAUGAAUUGACGGGGGCCCGCACAAGCGGUGGAGCAUGUGGUUUAAUUCGAAGCAACGCGAAGAACCUUACCUGGCCUUGACAUGCUGAGAACUUUCAGAGAUGGAUUGGUGCCUUCGGGAACUCAGACACAGGUGCUGCAUGGCUGUCGUCAGCUCGUGUCCUGAGAUGUUGGGUUAAGUCCCGUAACGAGCGCAACCCUUGUCCUUAGUACAGCACCUCGGGUGGGCACUCUAAGGAGACUGCCGUGACAACCGGAAGAGGUGGGAAGACCUCAAGCACAGGCCCUUACGGCCGGGCUACCACGUGCUACAUGGUCGGUACAAGGUUGCCAACCCCGAGGUGGAACUAUCCCUAAAACCAAUGUAAUCCGGAUCCAUCGAACUCAACUGCGUGAAGUCGGAAUCGCUAGUAAUCGUGAAUCAGAAUGUCACGGUGAAUACGUUCCCGGGCCUUGUACACACCGCCCGUCACACCAUGGGAGUGGGUUGCUCCAGAAGUAGCUAGUCUAACCAGCAAAGGGGGCACUGGUCACGCACGAGA
rnacentral:rRNA from 1 species